UCAUCGUUACGUCACGUUCCCGCGCAAAGCAUGCUGCAAAUCUCGCAUGCCGUCGUCGUGCUGUGCUGUAGACUGUGCCAACCGAUGGUACCGAGGAUGCAAGAAGACGUUCUGUCGUUUUCCAACGGACUCUGCGAGGCGGCAGAAGUGGAUAAACGCGGUACGGCGGAAAAAUUGGUCGCCGGCGGUUCAUGACAGAGUCUGUGGGGACCAUUUCAUCACUGGUGCUGCCUCCAAUGACCCCUCACAUCCUGAUUGGGUGCCAACGGUGUUUUGCUACAAGAAGACAACAGAC